GAAAUACCAGCAACCCCCACGGAGGAGCUGUUAAAGAAAAAGCUUCGGAAACGAGGCCUCUCUCUCCCUAUGCUACGUAUGAUGAUCUUAAGCCCCCUUCAUCACCAUCUCCCAGAGCACCGGCAACUGCACCAACAGAAGGUGAGUCCCAAGGUGCUACAUUGUCAGGAAACAGCACGCCUCAACCUCCGGUAACAGAUAAACCAAGUGAUGAACAGCAUGAUACCGAU